AAAUUGAAGAGUUUGAUCAUGGCUCAGAUUGAACGCUGGCGGCAGGCCUAACACAUGCAAGUCGAGCGGUAGCACAGAGAGCUUGCUCUCGGGUGACGAGCGGCGGACGGGUGAGUAAUGUCUGGGAAACUGCCUGAUGGAGGGGGAUAACUACUGGAAACGGUAGCUAAUACCGCAUAACGUCGCAAGACCAAAGUGGGGGACCUUCGGGCCUCAUGCCAUCAGAUGUGCCCAGAUGGGAUUAGCUGGUAGGUGGGGUAACGGCUCACCUAGGCGACGAUCCCUAGCUGGUCUGAGAGGAUGACCAGCCACACUGGAACUGAGACACGGUCCAGACUCCUACGGGAGGCAGCAGUGGGGAAUAUUGCACAAUGGGCGCAAGCCUGAUGCAGCCAUGCCGCGUGUGUGAAGAAGGCCUUCGGGUUGUAAAGCACUUUCAGCGGGGAGGAAGGCGAUAAGGUUAAUAACCUUGUCGAUUGACGUUACCCGCAGAAGAAGCACCGGCUAACUCCGUGCCAGCAGCCGCGGUAAUACGGAGGGUGCAAGCGUUAAUCGGAAUUACUGGGCGUAAAGCGCACGCAGGCGGUCUGUCAAGUCGGAUGUGAAAUCCCCGGGCUCAACCUGGGAACUGCAUUCGAAACUGGCAGGCUAGAGUCUUGUAGAGGGGGGUAGAAUUCCAGGUGUAGCGGUGAAAUGCGUAGAGAUCUGGAGGAAUACCGGUGGCGAAGGCGGCCCCCUGGACAAAGACUGACGCUCAGGUGCGAAAGCGUGGGGAGCAAACAGGAUUAGAUACCCUGGUAGUCCACGCUGUAAACGAUGUCGAUUUGGAGGUUGUGCCCUUGAGGCGUGGCUUCCGGAGCUAACGCGUUAAAUCGACCGCCUGGGGAGUACGGCCGCAAGGUUAAAACUCAAAUGAAUUGACGGGGGCCCGCACAAGCGGUGGAGCAUGUGGUUUAAUUCGAUGCAACGCGAAGAACCUUACCUGGUCUUGACAUCCACAGAACUUAGCAGAGAUGCUUUGGUGCCUUCGGGAACUGUGAGACAGGUGCUGCAUGGCUGUCGUCAGCUCGUGUUGUGAAAUGUUGGGUUAAGUCCCGCAACGAGCGCAACCCUUAUCCUUUGUUGCCAGCGGUUAGGCCGGGAACUCAAAGGAGACUGCCAGUGAUAAACUGGAGGAAGGUGGGGAUGACGUCAAGUCAUCAUGGCCCUUACGACCAGGGCUACACACGUGCUACAAUGGCAUAUACAAAGAGAAGCGACCUCGCGAGAGCAAGCGGACCUCAUAAAGUAUGUCGUAGUCCGGAUUGGAGUCUGCAACUCGACUCCAUGAAGUCGGAAUCGCUAGUAAUCGUAGAUCAGAAUGCUACGGUGAAUACGUUCCCGGGCCUUGUACACACCGCCCGUCACACCAUGGGAGUGGGUUGCAAAAGAAGUAGGUAGCUUAACCUUCGGGAGGGCGCUUACCACUUUGUGAUUCAUGACUGGGGUGAAGUCGUAACAAGGUAACCGUAGGGGAACCUGCGGUUGGAUCACCUCCUUACCUUAAAGAA
rnacentral:rRNA from 1 species